GGGCUUGGUAGUUUAAUUAAGAAUACCAUAUUGCAAAUAUGGAGAUGUACACAGUAUUCAAGCUU
rnacentral:tRNA from 1 species